rnacentral:rRNA from 1 species
GACGAGCGCUGGCGGCGUGCCUAAUACAUGCAAGUUGAGCGAUGAAGAUUGGUGCUUGCACCCAUUUGAAGAGCAGCGAACGGGUGAGUAACGCGUGGGGAAUCUGCCUUCGAGCGGGGGACAACAUUUGGAAACGAAUGCUAAUACCGCAUAAUAACUUUAAACAUAAGUUUUAAGUUUGAAAGAUGCAAUUGCAUCACUCAAAGAUGAUCCCGCGUUGUAUUAGCUAGUUGGUGAGGUAAAGGCUCACCAAGGCGAUGAUACAUAGCCGACCUGAGAGGGUGGACGGACACAUUGGCAGUGAGACUGGGCCCCCACUCCGACAGGAAGCCACAGUCGGGAAUCUUCCGCAAGGGAGGAAAGGCUGAUCGAGCAACGCCGCGUGAGUGAAGAAGGUGUUCGGAUCGGAAAACUCUGUUGGUAGAGAAGAACGUUGGUGAGAGUGGAAAGGACGUUAAGUGACGGAACCGACCCAGAAAGGCACGGCUACUACGUG